rnacentral:rRNA from 1 species
UUCCGUAGGUGAACCUGCGGAAGGAUCAUUAAUGAAUUUUAUGGCAGAGUUGUAGCUGGUCCUAAUCGGACAUGUGCACACUUUGUUCAUUCCAAUUCUCAUACACCUCUGUGCACUUUUCAUAGGUUUAAUGUGGAAAAGGUCUCUGGCCUUGGAAAUAUUAGCCUAUGUAUUUACAAACGCUUUAGUUUUAGAAUGUCAAUCGCGUAUAACGCAAUAAAUACAACUUUUAGCAACGGAUCUCUUGGCUCUCGCAUCGAUGAAGAACGCAGCGAAAUGCGAUAAGUAAUGUGAAUUGCAGAAUUCAGUGAAUCAUCGAAUCUUUGAACGCACCUUGCGCCCCUUGGUAUUCCGAGGGGCAUGCCUGUUUGAGUGUCAUGGUAUUCUCAAUACCCUAAAUCUUUGCGGAUGAGGGUGUAUUGGACUUGGAGGUUUUUGCAGGCAAUAUUACUUUGUCGGCUCCUCUUAAAUACAUUAGCAGAGAUAUUACUGCUACUCUCCAGUGUGAUAAUUGUCUACGCUGUUAGUAGUGCGGUAUAUAAACAUCUAUGCUUCUAAUCGUCUUCGGACAAUUCUUUGACAUCUGACCUCAAAUCAGGUAGGACUACCCGCUGAACUUAAGCAUAUCAAUAAGCGGAGGAAAAGAAACUAACAAGGAUUCCCCUAGUAACUGCGAGUGAAGCGGGAAAAGCUCAAAUUUAAAAUCUGGCGGUCUUUGGCUGUCCGAGUUGUAGUCUGGAGAAGC